GUGCCAGCAGCCGCGGUAAUACGGAAGGUCCGAGCGUUAUCCGGAUUUAUUGGGUUUAAAGGGAGCGUAGGUGGGUCUGUAAGUCAGCCGUCAAAUCGCGCNUCAACUGCNCCAGCGGUUGAAACUGCAGACCUUGAGUGCACAAGAGGGCGGUGGAAUUCGUGGUGUAGCGGUGAAAUGCUUAGAUAUCACGAAGAACUCCGAUUGCGAAGGCAGCCGCCUGGGGUGCAACUUGACACUGAGGCUCGAAGGUGCGGGAAUCAAACAGGAUUAGAUACCCUGGUAGUCCGCACAGUAAACGAUGGAUGCUCGCGGUGCGCACGUUGGUGUACGCCGCCCAGCGAAAGCCGUUAAGCAUCCCACCUGGGGAGUACGCCGGCAACGGUGAAACUCAAAGGAAUUGACGGGGGCCCGCACAAGCGGAGGAACAUGUGGUUUAAUUCGAUGAUACGCGAGGAACCUUACCCGGGCUUGAAAUGUGCAUGACGUGCCGCAGAGACGCGGCAUUCCUUCGGGCAUGCAUGUAGGUGCUGCAUGGUUGUCGUCAGCUCGUGCCGUGAGGUGUCGGCUUAAGUGCCAUAACGAGCGCAACCCUUAUCGCUGGUUACCAUCGGGUGAUGCCGGGGACUCCAGCGACACUGCCAUCGCAAGAUGUGAGGAAGGCGGGAAUGACGUCAAAUCAGCACGGCCCUUACGUCCGGGGCUACACACGUGUUACAAUGGGGGGCACAGCAAGCAGGCGUGGGGACCACGGUCGAAUCCCUAAAUCCCCUCCCAGUUCGGACUGGAGUCUGCAACCCGACUCCACGAAGCUGGAUUCGCUNGUAAUCGCGCAUCAGCCAUGGCGCGGUGAAUACGUUCCCGGGCCUUGUACACACCGCCCGA
rnacentral:rRNA from 1 species